rnacentral:rRNA from 1 species
GAGAGUUUGAUCCUGGCUCAGGACGAACGCUGGCGGCGUGCUUAACACAUGCAAGUCGAGCGAUAAAAUCCCUUCGGGGAUGGAUUAGCGGCGGACGGGUGAGUAACACGUGGGCAACCUGCCUCAAAGUGGGGGAUAGCCUUCCGAAAGGAAGAUUAAUACCGCAUAACAUUAGUUUUUUACAUGAAUUACUAAUUAAAGGAGUAAUCCGCUUUGAGAUGGGCCCGCGGCGCAUUAGCUAGUUGGUGAGGUAACGGCUCACCAAGGCCACGAUGCGUAGCCGACCUGAGAGGGUAAUCGGCCACAUUGGAACUGAGACACGGUCCAGACUCCUACGGGAGGCAGCAGUGGGGAAUAUUGCACAAUGGGCGAAAGCCUGAUGCAGCAACGCCGCGUGAGUGAUGAAGGCCUUCGGGUUGUAAAGCUCUGUCUUUGGGGACGAUAAUGACGGUACCCAAGGAGGAAGCCACGGCUAACUACGUGCCAGCAGCCGCGGUAAUACGUAGGUGGCGAGCGUUGUCCGGAUUUACUGGGCGUAAAGGAUGCGUAGGCGGAUGUUUAAGUCAGAUGUGAAAAUCCCGAGCUUAACUUGGGAACUGCAUUUGAAACUGGAUAUCUAGAGGGCGGGAGAGGAGAAUGGAAUUCCUAGUGUACCGGGGAAAGGCGAAAA